rnacentral:rRNA from 1 species
GGGAAUUUUGGGCAAUGGGCGAAAGCCUGACCCAGCAACGCCGCGUGAAGGACGAAAUCCCUCUGGGAUGUAAACUUCGAAAGUCGGGAAAGAAAUCCUGAGGGCUAAUACCCCUUGGGGAUGACGUUACCCGACGUACGCCCCGGCUAACUACGUGUCAGCAGCCGCGGUAAUACGCAGGGGGCAAGCGUUGUUCGGAAUUACUGGGCGUAAAGGGCGCGUAGGCGGCAUGGCAAGUCAGGAGUGAAAGCCCGGGGCUCAACCCCGGAACUGCUUUUGAAACUGCCGAGCUCGAGUGCGGAAGAGGCAACUGGAAUUCCCAGUGUAGCGGUGAAAUGCGUAGAUAUUGGGAAGAACACCGGAGGCGAAGGCGGGUUGCUGGGCCUACACUGACGCUGAGGCGCGAAAGCCAGGGGAGCAAAC